rnacentral:rRNA from 2 species
GGCGACGACGGAUAGCCGGCCUGAGAGGGUGGCCGGCCACAGGGGCACUGAGACACGGGUCCCACUCCUACGGGAGGCAGCAGUUAGGAAUCUUCCACAAUGGGCGAAAGCCUGAUGGAGCGACGCCGCGUGAGGGAUGAAGGUCUUCGGAUCGUAAACCUCUGAACAGGGACGAAAGACGCUUUAUGCGGGAUGACGGUACCUGAGUAAUAGCACCGGCUAACUCCGUGCCAGCAGCCGCGGUAAUACGGAGGGUGCAAGCGUUACCCGGAAUCACUGGGCGUAAAGGGCGUGUAGGCGGACACUUAAGUCUGGUUUUAAAGACUGCGGCUCAACCGCAGGGAUGGACUGGAUACUGGGUGUCUUGACCUCUGGAGAGAGAACUGGAAUUCCUGGUGUAGCGGUGG